CUGGUUGAUCCUGCCGGCGGCCACCGCUAUUGGAAUUCGAUUAAGACAUGCGAGUCGAGAGUCGCAAGGACUCGGCGGACCGCUCAGUAACACGCGGAUAACAUGCCCUUGGGUGGGGGAUAACCUCGGGAAACUGAGAAUAAUACCCCAUAGAUCUCGAAAGCUGGAAUGCUUCAAGAUCCAAAACUCCGGUGCCCAAGGAUUGGUCUGCGGCGUAUCAGGUUGUAGUGGGUGUAACGGACCCCCUAGCCUAUGACGCGUAAGGGCCUUGAGAGAGGGAGCCCUGAGAUGGACUCUGAGACAUGAGUCCAGGCCCUACGGGGCGCAGCAGUCGCGAAAACUUCACAAUGGGGGAAACCCCGAUGAGGGAAUUCCAAGUGCCAGCACAUUGUGUUGGCUGUUCUCUGGUCUAAAAAACCGGAGAAGUAAGGGCCGGGUAAGACGGGUGCCAGCCGCCGCGGUAAUACCCGCGGCCCAAGUGGUGGUCGAUAUUAUUGAGCCUAAAACGUCCGUAGCCGGUCUUGUAAAUCCUUGGGUAAAUCGACCAGCUUAACUGUUCGAAGUCCGGGGAGACUGCAAGACUUGGGAUCGGGAGAGGUGAGAGGUACUUCUGGGGUAGGGGUAAAAUCCUGUAAUCCUAGAAGGACCACCGGUGGCGAAGGCGUCUCACUAGAACGAAUCCGACGGUGAGGGACGAAGCCCUGGGGCGCAAACGGGAUUAGAUACCCCGGUAGUCCAGGGUGUAAACGCUGCGGGCUUGGUGUUGGGGGUCCUUUGAGGGCGCCCAGUGCCGGAGAGAAGUUGUUAAGCCUGCUGCUUGGGGAGUACGUCCGCAAGGAUGAAACUUAAAGGAAUUGGCGGGGGAGCACCGCAACGGGAGGAGCGUGCGGUUCAAUUGG
rnacentral:rRNA from 1 species